UUCUAUCUAUCUACCCAAAUAAUAAAAGGAGGAUUGCUUCCGUGGUCGUCGUCCGACGUCCGUUUUCGUCCGUCUCCUGGGCGCCUUCGUAUGGGAGGAAGCGGCAUUACUUCUCCUCCUCAGCCUCCUCGCGGACUUCCCGGUGCUCGCCACGUUGCCAGUGACCCACCGGCAGCCACGAUCUCGUGCGGGAGAACCGGCGCUCGAGGGAGACGGACGCGCAGGGCAGGUGCACAGGGUCAAGGGCACGGCGGCCGGCGGCGGAAGCGCUGACGCGCAGGGGUAGCAGCACCGCGGCGGGAAUUUGGGGACGCCGGCGUCCUCGCAGCUUGCACGGGAGGGGAGCGCGGCGGAUGCACGGGAGUAGGAGUAAGGGCGCGCGGGGGAGCUCCGGCGCACGGCUGAAGCGGCAGAAGCGUAGGCCUCGUGGCUUGCAGUGUCCUUCUCACCUUUUUUUAGUUGAAACGCCUGUAAUUUGCAGUCCGUUGUAGCUGCUACACCCACCGGCCUGCAGCAUGAGGAGUUCUUUCAUUGAAUGUUUGCAGUCACACAUCAAGAAGUGGUUCUCCAUGAGUUCCGUGGUGAUCCAAGUGAGAUUUCAUUUAGGCCUCUCAGAGAGAGCACAGGCUCUGCAGACAUUGAUACUUAUGGCCUGUGACUGUGAUGAACUUGCUCCGGUGGAUGGGACGGAGGAUGUGCUGAGUAAUCUGGCUUAUCCAA